ACCCAGUCAACGACGAACAACUUUGGACGGAGGCGGGGGACCCACCGGUCCACCGAAACGGAAGGACCUGGAGCAGAUUUCGGCUCCUUGGGGUGAAGCCGGCGUCGUCUCGACGCCGCCGGCCGGGCAACCUCUCCAGCCCGAACCCGACAGCUGACCUCGCGGGCGCUUAAAGAGAGGACAC
rnacentral:sRNA from 2 species